ACCGAAUAGAUACCCGGGUACGUCCACGCCGUAAACUAUGAACGCUAGCCGUUGGCGAGCUUGCGUCGUCAGUGGCGCAGCUAACGCAUUAAGCGUUCCGCCUGGGGAGUACGGCCGCAAGGUUGAAACUCAAAGAAAUUGACGGGGGCCCGCACAAGCGGUGGAGCAUGUGGUUUAAUUCGACGCAACGCGCAGAACCUUACCAGGGUUUGACAUCCCGAGACCGCUGCUGAAAGGCAGUUUCCCGCAAGGGCUCGGAGACAGGUGCUGCAUGGCUGUCGUCAGCUCGUGUCGUGAGAUGUUGGGUU
rnacentral:rRNA from 1 species